rnacentral:rRNA from 1 species
AGUGAACGCUGGCGGUAGGCCUAACACAUGCAAGUCGAACGGCAGCACAGUAAGAGCUUGCUCUUACGGGUGGCGAGUGGCGGACGGGUGAGGAAUACAUCGUAAUCUACUUUUUCGUGGGGGAUAACGUAGGGAAACUUACUCUAAUACCGCAUACGACCUACGGGUGAAAGCAGGGGAUCUUCGGACCUUGCGCGAUUGAAUGAGCCGAUGUCGGAUUAGCUAGUUGGCGGGGUAAAGGCCCACCAAGGCGACGAUCCGUAGCUGGUCUGAGAGGAUGAUCAGCCACACUGGAACUGAGACACGGUCCAGACUCCUACGGGAGGCAGCAGUGGGGAAUAUUGGACAAUGGGCGCAAGCCUGAUACAGCCAUACCGAGUGGGUGAAGAAGGCCUUCGGGUUGUAAAGCCCUUUUGUUGGGAAAGAAAAGCAGCAGGUUAAUACCCCGCUGUUCUGACGGUACCCAAAGAAUAAGCACCGGCUAACUUCGUG